rnacentral:rRNA from 1 species
UCUCUCUGAAUCUGCGAACGGCUCCGCAAACCAGUUGUAAACCAAAGCAAGCAUACUCGUGGCUUGCCCUUCACGGGGUAGGUUGCGGGUGAUACGGAUAACCCUGGUAAUUCUGAGGCUAAUACGAGACUAUAAUCCCUGGCGGACCGGGCAACUGGGAAGCUGGGGGGCGUGCGAUCUAUUUGCAAGACGAUACCAGGAAGGGGUGCACGCUCUGACCGCGAUAAAGACGGUUCCGGUAAACCUUCGGGCGAGCUGGUUCCGAGCGGCUCUUGCGAUGUGCUUCUGACCUAUCAACUAGAUGGCAGCGUAACGGACAUGCCAUGGUUACAACGGGUACAGAGGAUUAGGGUUCGAUCCUGGAGAGUGGGCCUGAGAGAUU